rnacentral:lncRNA from 1 species
AUGGCGGUGUGCGCUCGCCUCUGCGGCGUGGGCCCGUCGCGGGGAUGCCGGCGCCGCCAGCAGCGCCGGGGCCCGGCCGAGACCGCAGCGGCCGACAGCGAACCGGACACGGACCCCGAGGAGGAGCUCAUCGAGGCGGGCUCGGCGGCGCUGUCCGGGGCGGGGGACGACCGGAGCGCGGGCCCCUCGUCGCCCCCGCGAUGCUCGCUGCUGGAGCUGCCGCCCGAGCUGCUGGUGGAGAUCUUCGCGUCGCUGCCCGGCACCGACCUGCCCAGCCUGGCCCAGGUCUGCACCAAGUUCCGACGCAUUCUGCACACUGACACCAUCUGGAGGCGGCGCUGCCGGGAGGAGUAUGGCGUUUGUGAGAACUUGCGGAAGCUGGAGAUCACGGGCGUGUCUUGUCGAGAUGUCUAUGCCAAGCUGCUUCACCGAUACAGACACAUCCUGGGCUUGUGGCAGCCAGAUAUCGGGCCGUACGGAGGACUGCUGAACGUGGUGGUGGAUGGCUUGUUCAUCAUUGGCUGGAUGUACCUGCCUCCCCACGACCCUCACGUGGACGACCCAAUGCGGUUCAAGCCCCUGUUCCGAAUCCAUCUGAUGGAGAGGAAGUCGGCCACGGUGGAGUGCAUGUACGGCCACAGAGGGCCCCACAACGGCCACGUCCAGAUCGUGAAGAAGGACGAGUUCUCCACCAAGUGCAACCAGACGGACCACCACAGGAUGUCUGGCGGGCGGCAGGAGGAAUUCCGCACAUGGCUGAGGGAGGAGUGGGGCCGGACGCUGGAGGACAUUUUCCACGAGCACAUGCAGGAGCUCAUCCUGAUGAAGUUCAUCUACACCAGUCAGUACGACAACUGCCUGACCUACCGCCGCAUCUACCUCCCGCCCAGCCGCCCGGAUGACCUCAUCAGGCCGGGCCUCUUCAAGGGCACCUACGGCAGCCACGGCCUGGAGAUCGUCAUGCUCAGCUUCCACGGGAAGCAUGCCCGGGGCACGAAGAUCACGGGCGACCCCAACAUCCCUGCUGGGCAGCAGACGGUGGAGAUUGACCUCAGGCACCGCAUCCAGCUGCCUGAUGCUGAGAGCCUGCAUGACUUCAACGAGCUCUCCCGAGUCGUCCUGGAGGUGCGCGAGCAGGUGCGCCAGGAGCAGGAGAAGGAGCAGGAAGGCGGGCCCGAGGAUGCCGAGGGUCUCGGCCGGCAGAGCCCCCAGCCCUGCGAGGAGCCACCCGCCGAGCCGGCCCAGGCACCUGGGGAUGGAGGGGCUGCGGCCGCGGCUGAGCCACCUGCCCAGUCGGGGCAGGGGCAGCCGUUUGUGCUGCCAGUGGGCGUGAGCUCGAGGAAUGAGGACUAUCCCCGGACCUGCAGGAUGUGCAGACUGCAGGAGCUCACAGUGAAGGAGGGAGGAGGCCAAGACGCUGCUGUCACAGCCGCCGAAGAGAGAAGUCUAGCUGUCCCGGUUGGUGAGGUGAAGCCUGUGGGCCCACAGGAAAAGGGUAAGGUUGGGGGCAGCAGAGUUGACAGCAGGCUGGUCACCAGUGGGAACCUGUCACAUCAUGCAGGGCCCCCAUCUAGGUGAAAAAGCGAGUCCUGUAUUCAGGGCUGUGACGGUGGUGGCGCCUGGUGUAACCUUGACCUGAACCACUGUGCAGCUUGGCUUCAACCUCAGAAAGACCCCAAAGUCACGGGACAUGAGAACUUAAAAAUUACAGUUCUUGCUUAGACUAUUUGAAAAUCAUGAUUUCACUUAACCUACAGGAUUUAGGUUUGUGAAAACUGUCACAGAUCAUUUAGGCAAGAUGAUCUUGAAAUAACAAGCCAAACUCAAAAUCAAACCACAACUUUUUGGUUCUUUUCUGGGUUACUAGCAAUACAUGCUUUUUUAGGAAUGUUCUCAAAGAUACAGAUAUCUGUUUUCACACGGAUACGUGUGAAGGAGUGAGAAGUGGCUGUCCUCCAGCUGCUGGCUGGGCUGGCACUGUGUGUGUUUUUGUUGAUGUCUUCUGGUGGACAUAAGCUCUAUUAUCUUGGGUGAUUACCUUGGGUGGGGAAUUGCUUAGUCACAGGAUAUUCACAUGUUUAGACAUUGUAAAUACUGCCAGUUUGGCUAUAUGGUUUUAUCUGGUGUGUAAGGUGUGAGGGUUCCAGCUGCCACACCCUCUACAAACUUGGCACUGUCAGUCCUUUUAAUUUUAGCCAUUUUUGGUGGAAAUGGUGAUGAGUUGCACUUGACGUGAAAUGGCAUGACAGUGUCAAGAGUGGUGAGGGCCAGGGUUUCUGCGGGGCUUGGGAGGCAUAAACCUGUCUUCUGUGUUACCACGAUAUUCCAGUGGGCUCAGGAGAAUAGAGAUGACAAGGAAUCCCAAGGGCCCUCCAAGACUGGCAAAGACGAGACAGCCAUAAAUAAAAUACUAGGCUAAUGGUGAGAUUCCUCGACA